rnacentral:rRNA from 1 species
GACGAACGCUGGCGGCGUGCUUAACACAUGCAAGUCGAGCGAUGAAACACCUUCGGGUGCGGAUUAGCGGCGAACGGGUGAGGAACACGUGAGGAAUCUGCCUUCCACUCUGGGAUAACUCCGGGAAACCGGGGCUAAUACCGGAUACUUUCAACUGGCGGCAUCGCCGGUUGAAGAAAGUUUUUCGGUGGAAGAUGACCUCGCGGCCUAUCAGCUUGUUGGUGAGGUAAAGGCUCACCAAGGCGACGACGGGUAGCCGGCCUGAGAGGGCGACCGGCCACACUGGGACUGAGACACGGCCCAGACUCCUACGGGAGGCAGCAGUGGGGAAUAUUGGGCAAUGGAGGAAACUCUGACCCAGCGACGCCGCGUGAGGGAUGAAGGCCUUCGGGUUGUAAACCUCUUUCAGCAGGGAAUAAGCGAAAGUGAAGGUACCUGCAGAAGAAGCACCGGCUAACUAUGUGCCAGCCGCCGCGGUAA